rnacentral:rRNA from 1 species
UACGUAGGGUGCGAGCGUUGUCCGGAAUUACUGGGCGUAAAGGCUCGUAGGCGGCCAACUAAGUCAUACGUGAAAUCCCUCGGCUUAACCGGGGAACUGCGUCUGAUACUGGAUGGCUUGAGUUCGGGAGAGGGAUGCGGAAUUCCAGGUGUAGCGGUGAAAUGCGUAGAUAUCUGGAGGAACACCGGUGGCGAAGGCGGCAUCCUGGACCGAUACUGACGCUGAGGAGCGAAAGCCAGGGGAGCAAACGGG